UUGAUUUCGAAUAAGGCAAAUCGAUUACUUUUGCCAAACCAAAAUCUCCAACAUGAGCUUCGAACUUUUCGUCAAGUAGGAUGUUGUUGGACUUAAUGUCGCGGUGGACGAUCCUUGGUCUGCAAUCGUGGUGUAAAUAGGCAAGACCUUCCGCAGCACCAAGAGCAACGGUGAAGCGUGUCGGCCAAUCCAAUCUACAUGAGGGUCCAUGAUGGCCAAUCCAAGCUACAUGAGGGUCCAUGAAGCAACUCCCCAAGACUACCUCUAGCCAUAUACUCGUACAAUAGCAGGUUGGAACCCUGAUGGUAGCAAAACCCAUAAAGCUUUACAAUGUUCCUGUGUCU
rnacentral:lncRNA from 1 species